rnacentral:lncRNA from 1 species
UGUGAGUAAAACGGCGCCCGUCAGACAGCGCUACGGUUUUUUGCGCAAAACGCAAACGCGCGGAGAAACCGAGCCAGGACAGAGCCGACAACAGAGAGAAAGCA